UAUCAUUAAGCGGAGGAAAAGAAACUAACAAGGAUUCCCUUAGUAACGGCGAGUGAACAGGGAAAAGCCCAGCACCGAAGCCUGUGGCCAUUUGGUCUCUAGGCAAUGUGGUGUUUAGGUCAUCUCGCGGAGACACUGUCCCACUCUAAGUCCAGCAAUGAGAACGGCAAUUUGGACUUGGCCCAAAGAGGGUGAAAGGCCCGUGAGGGUGGGAAUCAUGUCGGCCAGUAUCUCCCUGAGUAGACCUUGGAGUCGGGUUGUUUGUGAAUGCAGCCCAAAGCGGGUGGUAAACUCCAUCCAAGGCUAAAUACUAACACGAGUCCGAUAGCGAACAAGUACCGUGAGGGAAAGUUGAAAAGUACUUUGAAGAGAGAGUAAACAGUGCGUGAAACCGCUCAGAGGUAAACAGGUGGAGUUGAACUGCAAGCUUUGAGAAUUUAACUGGUGAGUGUGGCAUAGGCAUGGAUAUGCUGGUUGGCCCACUGAGUCUGCCGAAAGGCGGGUCGCACCUCUCGGGGUGUGAUGCACGUGGCACUUGUCAAGUGUUGUGCGCUUGGAGGGUACAUCGGAUCUGCUCGCUAGUGCACUUUCUCAGAGUGUUCACCACGACCGGCGCUGCUGUCAGUCUACUGUGGUCAAACCGUGUUUGUAUCGUCCUUGUGGCUUUGCAUGCUCGGGAUGGCAGGUAGCCCGUUUGUGCUUGUCACUUUCGGGUGUAAUCAGCUGGUUGCAGUAGUACUGUGCAGUGCGCCGGAGACGGCGGCUUGUGGUGCGUACAUGCGUGCCUGUUUGAUCGGCGGCUUUGGGUCUGGUUUUCAUGAUGCCUGUAAAAACAGACCUGAUUAUGGCUCGGAGUCGUUCGGUUGACGGUUGCGUGUGGGGCACUUUCAUGGGCCAAUAGUCUGUGGUGUAGUGGUAAACUAUCACCUGA
rnacentral:rRNA from 1 species